UACAGAGGUGGCAAGCGUUGUUCGGAAUUACUGGGCGUAAAGGGCGCGUAGGCGGCCCGUCAAGUCCCGUGUGAAAGCCCCCGGCUCAACCGGGGAACGGCGCGGGAAACUAGCAGGCUUGAGUUCGGGAGAGGGAAGCGGAAUUCACGGUGUAGCAGUGAAAUGCGUAGAUAUCGUGAGGAACACCAGAGGCGAAGGCGGUUACCUGGACAGUUACUGACGCUCAGGCACGAAAGCAUGGGGAGCAAAAGGG
rnacentral:rRNA from 1 species